AACGAACGCUGGCGGCAGGCUUAACACAUGCAAGUCGAACGCCCCGCAAGGGGAGUGGCAGACGGGUGAGUAACGCGUGGGAACGUGCCCUAAGGUACGGAACAACUCCGGGAAACUGGAGCUAAUACCGUAUGUGACCGAGAGGUGAAAGAUUCAUCGCCUUAGGAUCGGACCGCGUCAGAUUAGCUAGUUGGUGGGGUAAUGGCCUACCAAGGCGACGAACUGUAGCUGUUCUGAGAGGAAGAUCAGCCACACUGGGACUGAGACACGGCCCAGACUCCUACGGGAGGCAGCAGUGGGGAAUCUUGGACAAUGGGCGCAAGCCUGAUCCAGCCAUGCCGCGUGGAUGAUGAAGGCCCUAGGGUUGUAAAAUCCUUUCGCCGAGGACGAUAAUGACGGUACUCGGAGAAGAAGCUCCGGCUAACUUCGUGCCAGCAGCCGCGGUAA
rnacentral:rRNA from 1 species